UACGUAGGGUGCAAGCGUUGUCCGGAAUUAUUGGGCGUAAAGAGCGCGUAGGCGGCUCGUCGCGUCGGGUGUGAAAUCCCGGGGCUCAACUCCGGGUCUGCAGUCGAUACGGGCGGGCUUGAGGACUGCAGGGGAGACUGGAAUUCCUGGUGUAGCGGUGAAAUGCGCAGAUAUCAGGAGGAACACCGGUGGCGAAGGCGGGUCUCUGGGCCGUUACUGACGCUGAGGAGCGAAAGCGUGGGGAGCGAACAGG
rnacentral:rRNA from 1 species